UGGGGAAUCUUGGACAAUGGGCGCAAGCCUGAUCCCGCCAUGCCGCGUGAGUGAAGAAGGCCUUAGGGUUGUAAAGCUCUUUUGGCAGGGACGAUAAUGACGGUACCUGCAGAAUAAGCCCCGGCAAACUUCGUGCCAGCAGCCGCGGUAAUACGAAGGGGGCUAGCGUUGUUCGGAUUUACUGGGCGUAAAGCGCACGUAGGCGGAUUGUUAAGUCAGGGGUGAAAUCCCGGAGCUCAGCUCCGGAACUGCCUUUGAUACUGGCAAUCUUGAGGCUGGAAGAGGUUGGUAGAAUUCCCAGUGUAGAGGUGAAAUUCGUAGAUAUUGGGAAGAAUACCAGUGGCGAAGGCGGCCAACUGGUCCAGAUCUGACGCUGAGGUGCGAAAGCGUGGGGAGCAAACA
rnacentral:rRNA from 1 species